UUGUAUGAACGGUUAAAUGAGGGCCUAACUGUCUCCUGCAGCCAAUCAAUGAAAUUGAUCUUACAGUACAAACGCUGUAAUAUAUUUAUAAGACGAGAAGACCCUGUGGAGCUUUAAACUCCUACACUAACUUAUACCCAUUUUACCAUUAUUAGUAUAGUGUAAAUUUUUAAGUUGGGGCGACUAUGGAGUAAAAAAAACCCUCCAUGCAACACGACUAACCUUCGUUUUAACCAGGCUAACAAGCCUAACCGAAUUACACGACCCAGUUCAAACUGAGUAUCGAACCAAGUUACCCCAGGGAUAACAGCGCCAUCCCCUUAAAGAGUCCACAUCGCCAAGGGGGUUUACG
rnacentral:rRNA from 1 species